AUUGAAGGGGUAUAAAUAAUAAUGAGUGAGAAUUGAGGGAUUAUUCAUGUAAUUAAUCCUUCUUUUGUAUUUAUUCAAUCAGGAAUCAAAAUUUCAUUUAUCAUAAAACUCACCUACAGUUAGAGAGAGAGAGAGAGAGAGGGAGAGAGAGAUGAAGAUAUUUGGCAAGUACAUAUUUCCGAGGCAGAUCAUACUCUUUGGUUCAGGGGUUAUGUUCUUGGCUGCAACAACGUACGACGUUCAUAGAUCCAUAAAGAACAACGAAACGCCCCCAUCCAAACAACAAAUCCAAGCCCUGGAGGAUUAUAUCAGCUCCAUCCGCCGAUCUCCUUGACCUCACCACCACCGCUUCUGAAUUUGCCACGUCUUCAUUUCCUAAAACUAAAACUCUAUCCAUACCGCCUAAUAAUAAAAAAUAAAAUCCACAAAACUGAUAUGAUAAUGUCAUUUUUGUAAUUGAAUUAUCUUAAUAUUUAUUUUAUUUUAAAGUGAAAGAUUUGUAUUAAACUUUUUUUUUUUAUUUUAGUUUUUUUGUUUUUAUAUGUAUGGUGUGUGAAGAGAAAUAUAUUACCAAAAUAGUUCAUCAAAACAUUUCAAAUC